UACGAAGGGGGCUAGCGUUGCUCGGAAUCACUGGGCGUAAAGGGCGCGUAGGCGGGUCUUUAAGUCAGGGGUGAAAUCCUGGAGCUCAACUCCAGAACUGCCUUUGAUACUGAGGAUCUUGAGUUCGGGAGAGGUGAGUGGAACUGCGAGUGUAGAGGUGAAAUUCGUAGAUAUUCGCAAGAACACCAGUGGCGAAGGCGGCUCACUGGCCCGAUACUGACGCUGAUGCACGAAAGCGUGGGGAGUAAACAGG
rnacentral:rRNA from 1 species